rnacentral:rRNA from 1 species
AUGACAGAGGAGGUGGAGGCCUGGCUCCUUCAACGUGUCAUGGAAGACUCCAUGAACACGCACGAUGAGCGCCAAUGGGAGGGCCUGGAGACCAUGAUUGCCCUCUCUGCGGUCGGCGACGCGGCCGCGUCGGAGCUGGAGAUGAGGGAGGGGGUGAAGGAGGAGGUGCUGGAGGAGGAGCCCGUCGCUGCGUUCCACUCGGGCCUGGUGGGCCAGGGGUGGAGCUGGUCGUGCAUGGCCGCCGACAUGGACGACGCCGUGGGGGCCGUGAACUGGUGCCCUACGCCGCCGCGCUUACCGGAGCGCGAGACGUCGCCACGGGGUGAGGUGGUGCAGGCGCCUCCCACCUUCCAGGAGCCUCCCGCCUUCCAGGGACGUGCCCACCUCUGGACGCCGCCGCCCUACAUCGACCUCACUGGCGACGACGACGACAACGCGUGA